GAUACCGUAUACUUAAAAACCCUAACUACAUUCUCAUUCAGAUAGUUGCACCUAUUCACACAUUCAAAACCCUAAAUCUACCGAUUCACACCAGAUUUAACCCUAAAUGUACCAAUUCGCACGAAAUUUAACCCUAAAUCACAACACCAUAGUUCAAUUUCAUUAGAGAAUUGAAGCUCUGCUUCAUUGUACGAUUCAUUGAUCUUCACAAAUGAUUCAAGUGUUCGACGCAUUAACGACAUAUCGAUUGAUCUUGUAAUCCAGACGAUUCAUUGAUCUUCACAUAUGAUUCUCGAAGCAUAUGCACGAUUUGGAUGAUUACGCACACGAUUUGGAUCUUCUGAACUUCGUUGUUACAGAAAGCUAGGGUUUGAUUCUGAACAUCGAUUCACAGACGAUUCUCAGGCUUUAUCUUCUGAACAGGUUCGUAUCCUCUUUGGUUAGGACUAGGAUUAGCGACUAGGUUUUGAGGUUUGUGCAUACAACUGAGUUGAGAUACGACUAGACAUACUAAACAGAGGAUUCUGAAUAGAACAUUGAUACGAACCGUUCUUCAAUCAGGACCUGGAGCUCCCCAGAUUUGCAAUGUGGUUAUUGAGAUCAACAAAGGAAGCAAAGUGAAAUAUGAACUUGACAAGAAAACCGGCCUCAUUAAGUCUUUUCCGAGGGCCGUCUGGUUGAACGGAAGUGGGAGGCAACUGAUCCAAUGCCCUGUGGAGGAGAUUUGAUGAUAAUUUAUUUUCAUCCAUCUGGAAUAUGCAGGAGAGUAUCUUGCUUCUGGUGCUGAUGGUGGUGAGCUGAUAAUAUGGAAGCAGAACAAAAUAUUGACUCUGGUCAAGUAUGGAAGGUCCUCAAGACACUAUCGUACGGCCUUUUGUUUCUAACAUAUAACAUAUAUGUUGAUAUUGAUAUGUAAGCAAUAUACUAUCAGAUAAGCACUAAAACACACCAAAAAAACCGCCAGUUCGCAGUUUAUGUCUUAUCCAAAGUCUACUACCCCUUGGGUUUUCUCGAAAGGUCGUUCGUUAUGGUGAGGUUUAUCGAUCAGAUUGGAAUGGAAUGGUAAGAUGGAUCUGAUCGUUUUAUACUAGUUUUUUUGUAUACUAAUAGUAGUGCGAGUUCUGUUUUGAGUUUCAAUGCUUGUAAUGUUUUAGAACAAAGUGUUGCAAAAAUAUUGUAGUUUAGUUACUUCAACUAGAUGGAAAGGAACUGAACUGUAGGAUGCUAGUUUGGAUGUUUGGAUUUGGAAAAUUUAAUUUUAGUUAUUUGAUGUUUUGAUUUGGAUGUUUAUAUUGGAUGUAUAAAUUUUUACAUUUUAAUGGAAUGGCAAC
rnacentral:lncRNA from 1 species